rnacentral:rRNA from 1 species
UACGGGGGGGGCAAGCGUUGUUCGGAAUUACUGGGCGUAAAGGGCUUGUAGGCGGCCAACUAAGUCAGACGUGAAAUCCCUCGGCUUAACCGGGGAACUGCAUCUGAUACUGGAUGGCUUGAGUUCGGGAGAGGGAUGCGGAAUUCCAGGUGUAGCGGUGAAAUGCGUAGAUAUCUGGAGGAACACCGGUGGCGAAGGCGGCAUCCUGGACCGACACUGACGCUGUGGAGCGAAAGCCAGGGGAGCAAACGGG